rnacentral:rRNA from 1 species
GACGAACGCUGGCGGCGUGCUUAACACAUGCAAGUCGAACGGAAAGGCCCUGCUUGCAGGGUACUCGAGUGGCGAACGGGUGAGUAACACGUGGGUGAUCUGCCCUGCACUUCGGGAUAAGCCUGGGAAACUGGGUCUAAUACCGGAUAGGAGCCAUUCUUAGUGUGAUGGUUGGAAAGUUUUUUCGGUGUAGGAUGAGCUCGCGGCCUAUCAGCUUGUUGGUGGGGUAAUGGCCUACCAAGGCGGCGACGGGUAGCCGGCCUGGGAGGGUGGACGGCCACAUUGGGACUGGGAUACGGCCCAGACUCCUACGGGAGGCAGCAGUGGGGAAUAUUGCACAAUGGGCGGAAGCCUGAUGCAGCGACGCCGCGUGGGGGAUGACGGGCUUCGGGUUGUAAACUCCUUUCGCUAGGGACGAAGCUGUUUGUGACGGUACCUAGAGAAGAAGCACCGGCUAACUACGUG